UGGGGAAUAUUGGACAAUGGGCGAAAGCCUGAUCCAGCCAUGCCGCGUGUGUGAAGAAGGUCUUCGGAUUGUAAAGCACUUUAAGUUGGGAGGAAGGGCAGUUACCUAAUACGUGAUUGUCUUGACGUUACCGACAGAAUAAGCACCGGCUAACUCUGUGCCAGCAGCCGCGGUAAUACAGAGGGUGCAAGCGUUAAUCGGAAUUACUGGGCGUAAAGCGCGCGUAGGUGGCUUGUUAAGUUGGAUGUGAAAUCCCCGGGCUCAACCUGGGAACUGCAUUCAAAACUGCCAAGCUAGAGUAUGGUAGAGGGUGGUGGAAUUUCCUGUGUAGCGGUGAAAUGCGUAGAUAUAGGAAGGAACACCAGUGGCGAAGGCGACCACCUGGACUGAUACUGACACUGAGGUGCGAAAAGCGUGGGGAGCAAAACAGGAUUUAGAUACCCUGGUAGUCCACGCCGUAAAACGAUGUCAACUAGCCGUUGGGAGCCUUGAGCUCUUAGUGGCGCAGCUAACGCAUUAAGUUGACCGCCUGGGGAGUACGGCCGCAAGGUU
rnacentral:rRNA from 1 species